CAUAUGCAUGAUAAGAAGGUUCGAUCGAUCGGUAUAUCAAACAGAAACAGAAACUAGAAAACAAAUUAAACUAAUUAAGACAGAUUAAACAUAGUUACGGCUAUGGUCACGAGAACAACAGAGAAAGUAGCAGCAAGAGAUGAGGCGGAUGAGCCAGCCGGUGGAGGUGGUGGUGAUGUAGUUGUAGCUGGAGGUGGUGGUGAAGAUGAUGGUGAAGGACUGCCGGAGGCGGCCUUGACAUUAAUGGAUAACUUUUGUCCGGCGGAGCAGUGCUGUCCGACAGUGCAGAUGAAGUAGUUGUCUCCGGUAGCAUUGAGCACUAAAGUUGCUGGACCAGUGGUUUGAAGGGAGAGAGUAUUGCUGGUGUCGCAGGAGUCAAAAGCAGCCUUGCUAACUGUCGCAACGUCGUGUGCUCCAGUUUGGAAGUUAAAGACUGCAAAAAAAAAAAAAAAAAAACACGGAAUAUAUAGGAAAAUUCAGCUUCAGCUCGUUUUCCAUGCAUAGAUAUAUAUAUCUCAACACACAGAGAGAGAGAGAGAGAGAGAGAGAGAGAGAGAGAGAGUAUAGGGAAAAGCUAGCUAAAAUAGGGUAAUUUUUCUGUGUAUAUAGAGAUCAGAGCUCACCUAGGGUAUCACCAACUGAAAAGCUAAGACCAGAAGCCCAGGAGGAAUAGAAGGAAGCACCGCCAGAAGGAACGGUCCAACCGGUGGAGUUUCCAACCGUAUGAGACGCACCUUCUGCCUCAUGCAGCACUGCUACCGCAGCAGUUAAAA